GACGAACGCUGGCGGCGUGCUUAACACAUGCAAGUCGAACGGAAAGGCCCUGCUUUUGUGGGGUGCUCGAGUGGCGAACGGGUGAGUAACACGUGAGUAACCUGCCCUUGACUUUGGUAUAACUUCAGGAAACUGGGGCUAAUACCGGAUAGGAGCUCCUGCUGCAUGGUGGGGGUUGGAAAGUUUCGGCGGUUGGGGAUGGACUCGCGGCUUAUCAGCUUGUUGGUGGGGUAGUGGCUUACCAAGGCUUUGACGGGUAGCCGGCCUGAGAGGGUGACCGGCCACAUGGGGAAUAAGAUACGGCCCAGACUCCAACGGGGGGCAGCGGUGGGGAAUAUGGCACAGUGGGCGGAAGCCUGAUGCGGCAACGCCGGGUGCGGGAUGACGGCCUUCGGGUUGUAAACCGCUUUCGCCUGUGACGAAGCGUGAGUGACGGUAAUGGGUAAAGAAGCACCGGCUAACUACGUG
rnacentral:rRNA from 1 species